CAAGUCGAACGGGGUCCAUGCUGUAGCAAUACAGCGGAAGACCUAGUGGCGAACGGGUGAGUAUCACGUGAGAAACCAACCCCGGUCUCUGGGAUAACAGGUGGAAACACCUGCUAAUACCGGAUGCCGUCGUUUCCUCGCAUGGGGAGAUGACGAAAGGGCUACCGGAUCGGGACGGUCUCGCGGCCUAUCAGCUUGUUGGGGAGGUAACGGCUCACCAAGGCUUCGACGGGUAGCUGGUCUGAGAGGAUGAUCAGCCACACUGGGACUGAGACACGGCCCAGACUCCUACGGGAGGCAGCAGUGGGGAAUCUUGCGCAAUGGGCGAAAGCCUGACGCAGCAACGCCGCGUGCGGGAUGAAGGCCUUCGGGUUGUAAACCGCUUUUACCAGGAAGGAAAAUGACAGUACCUGGAGAAUAAGGUGCGGCCAACUACGUGCCAGCAGCCGCGGUGACACGUAGGCACCAAGCGUUGUCCGGAUUUAUUGGGCGUAAAGAGCUCGUAGGCGGUUCAGUAAGUCGGGUGUGAAAACUCUGGGCUCAACUCAGAGACGCCACCCGAUACUGCUGUGACUUGAGUCCGGUAGGGGAGUGGGGAAUUCCUGGUGUAGCGGUGAAAUGCGCAGAUAUCAGGAGGAACACCAAUGGCGAAGGCACCACUCUGGGCCGAGACUGACGCUGAGGAGCGAAAGCGUGGGUAGCAAACAGGAUUAGAUACCCUGGUAGUCCACGCCGUAAACGGUGGGCACUAGGUGUGGGUUCCAACCAACGGAAUCCGCGCCGGCGCUAACGCAUUAAGUGCCCCGCCUGGGGAGUACGGCCGCAAGGUUAAAACUCAAAGGGAUUGACGG
rnacentral:rRNA from 1 species